rnacentral:tRNA from 1 species
GGCCUAGUAGCUCAGUUGGCUAGAGCCUUGGCUGUGCUAAAGCCUUCCCCUUGCUGGCGUGGGUUCAUAUCCCACCGAGGCUG